rnacentral:rRNA from 1 species
AGAGUUUGAUCAUGGCUCAGGACGAACGCUGGCGGCGUGCCUAACACAUGCAAGUCGAGCGGAGACAGUGAGUAGCUUGCUAUGAGCUGUUUUAGCGGCGGACGGGUGAGUAACGCGUGAGCAACCUUUCCCAGACAGGGGAAUAACACACCGAAAGGUGUACUAAUACCGCAUAAGACCACGGGAUCACAUAAUUCUGGGGGUAAAAGAUUUAUCGGUUUUGGGGUGGGCUCGCGUCCGAUUAGGUAGUUGGUGAGGUAACCGG